rfam:Sulfolobus solfataricus P2, complete genome.
CGACUAGGGGCACCAAGCCAGCCGGUGGAUGGCUCGGCUCGGGCGCUGACGAAGGGCGCGGCAAGUGGCGAAAUGCCCGGGGUAGGCACACGCUGCCUUUGAACCCGGGAUUCCCGAAUGGGACCUCCUGCCCCUUUGGGGCGCACCCGACUCGACGAGAGUUCGGGUGUGGGAACUCCCCGAACGGAAACAUCUUAGUAGGGGAAGGAGGAGAAAUCAACCGAGAUCCCCUGAGUAGGGGCGACCGAAAGGGGGAUAGCCCAAACCAAACCCGCCGGCGGCAAGUCGGUGGGAAUGUGGUGUUAUUGGCCUCCAGUCUGGUUUAAAGCCGGCCUCCCUGGCCUACCUAGCCGAACUCUCCUGGAAUGGAGGGCCAUAGAGGGUGACAGCCCCGUAGGCUAAAGGUAGGUGGGAGGUGACUGGAGGCAGAGUACCAUCCCCUGGUUCGGGGGUGGGAAGUUGGGGGCCACGUGCCUCCAAGGCUAAAUACGUCCCGAGACCGAUAGCGAACUAAGUACCGUGAGGGAAAGCUGCAAAGCACCCCGGAAGGGGGGUGAAAAGAGCCUGAAACCGGCUGGUCAUAGUAGGGCAAGGCUCGAAAGGAGUGAAGUCUCCCGAAGGAAAGAGGCGCGAGCCUCAAGUACGAGGGAGAUGGACCGGGGUCUUGCCUUUCGUCCUGAAACACGGGCCGGGGAGUUCACGCCAGUGGCGAGCCUAAGGGGGUUAACCCCGAAGGCAUAGGGAAACCGAGUGCCCGCAACCCGGGAAACCGGGUGAGGGGCAGGGUCUGCCAGGGCCUAAAGUCACUGGCGUGAGGCUAGAAACCGGGCGAUCUAGGCCGGGGCAGGCCGAAGCCGGGGGAAACCUCGGUGGAGGGCCGAAUAGGGGUUCUGACGUGCAAUUCGUUCCCCUGACCCCGGUCUAGGGGCGAAAGACCAAUCUAGCUCGGUGAUAGCUAGUUCCCCCCGAAAUGCGUCCUAGCGCAGCCUUCCUGGAGGUUGCCUACGGGGUAGAGUAACUGAUUGGGGGUUCGGAGCGAAAGCUCCGGGCUUCCAGUCAAACUCCGAACUCGUAGGCGCCGAAGAAGGGGAGAGUGGGCCACUCGGCGUAAGGUUGGGUGGCGAAAGGGAAACAGCCCAGACUUGGGUUAAGGCCCCAAAAUGCCGGCUAAGUGCCAGUUGAAGGGCGUCUCUAGCCUUAGACAGCGGGAAGGUGGGCCCAGCAGCAGCCAUCCUCUAAGGAGUGCGUAACAGCUCACCCGCCGAGGCUAGAGGCCCCGAAGAUUGGUCGGGGCUUAAGCCGGCUGCCGAGACCCAAGCGUGGAGGCUCAUUGAGUCUCCAUGGGUAGGGGGGCGCUGUGGUGGGGUAGAAGGUGGGUCGUGAGAUCCACUGGACCCGCCACAGGUGCAGAUCCCGGCGGCAGUAACAGCGAGGAGGGGUAAGACUCCCCUCCGCCGGAAGGGCUAGGGUUUCCCGGCAAUGGUCGUCAGCCGGGAGUGAGCCGGUCCUAAGGCGAGGCCUAAUAGGUACUCGCCGAAAGGGAAGUGGGUUAAUAUUCCCACGCCCUAGGGGUAGGCGCGGUAACGCAAGCUGGACUCCUGACGGAUCUGGGUAGGGUGAGUGGGGCCACCGCCCCAUCCAAGCGCUUAAGUCCCUGGAGUGCCGUAAUGGUGAGAAGGGGACGAAGGCGUGAUGGGGUUCCCUUUGGGGACUUCACCCAAUCCCAGGUUCCCUUGAAAAGGGAGUCCAGAACGAUCCCCUAGGACCGUACCGAGAACCGACACUGGUGCCCCUGGGUGAGAAGCCCAAGGCGUCUGGGGGUUAACUCAGGCUAGGGAACUCGGCAAAAUAGCCCCGUACCUUCGGUAGAAGGGGUGCCUACUGGGGUCGUAAACCGGCCUCAGUAGGUCGCAGUGACAAGAGGGACCUGACUGUUUAAUAAAAACAUAGGUCCCCGCUAGCCCGAAAGGGUGUGAACGGGGGCUAAAUCCUGGCCACUGGUGGUUGGUGAAAGCCGGGUCCAACCGGCCGAAGCCCCACUGAAGGCCGGGGGUAACUCUGACCCUCUUAAGGUAGCCAAAUGCCUUGCCGGGUAAGUUCCGGCGCGCAUGAAUGGAUCAACGUGGUCCCUACUGUCCCAGCCUGGGGCCCCGUGAACGCCCAGAGUGGGUUCACAGUCCCGCAACUCCCCACACCGAGAGAAGACCCCGUGGAGCUUCACCGCAGCCUGGCGCUGCUCCUCGGGCGCCUAUGCGUAGAGUAGGUGGGAGGGGUCGAACCCAUCCUUUCGGGGAUGGGGGACCCGAAGGUGAAACACCACCCAUGGGUGCUCGAGGAGCUUACCUACCCGUAGGGGUGGGGACAGCGUCAGGUGGGCGGUUCGGCUGGGGCGGCACUCCCGCGAAAAGAUAACACGGGAGCCCAAAGGUCGGCUCAGGCGGUACAGAACGCCGCCGUGGAGUGCAAGGGCAAAAGCCGGCUUGACGAGACCCUCCAAAGUACGGGGUCUCGACGCGAAAGCGCGGCCUAGCGAACGCUCGUGUCCCCCCACGUGGGGGCCGGGCAUGACAGAAAAGUUACCCCGGGGAUAACAGGGUCGUCGCGGGCGAGAGCUCCCAUCGACCCCGCGGUUUGCUACAUCGAUGUCGGCUCUUCCCACCCUGGGGGUGCAGCUGCCCCCAAGGGUAGGGCUGCCCGCCCGUUAAAGGGGAACGUGAGCUGGGUUUAGACCGUCGCGAGACAGGUCGGACUCUAAGGGUGGGGAGUGUGGGCUGCCUGAGGGGAAGGUACCCCAAGUACGAGAGGAACAGGGUACCGGGGCCUCUAGUUUACCGGUUGUCCGGUAGGGCAGUGCCGGGCAGCCACGCCCUGUGGGGUAACCGCUGAAAGCAUCUAAGCGGGAACCCCUCCCCGAAAAGAGGCAGCCAUGCGGGGUAACCCGCGAGAGCCCACCCCUAGAAGAGGGGAUUGAUGGGGGCGGGGUGUAAGUCCCGAGGGCGAAAGUCCGAGGGAUUUAGCCCGCGCCUCCCAAUCGGGCAAGCCCUCUUGUCG